rnacentral:tRNA from 1 species
GCGCCUGUGGCUCAGUUGGAUAGAGCAACGGACUUCUAAUCCGUAGGUCGGGGGUUCGAAUCCCUCCAGGCGCGCCA